UGUAAUUUUUACUCUGAACCUAGAAGCCAGAUGGAGAUUGUAGAUAUCGAAGAAAAUCUAAACGCGCAACUCAAAAAGGAUUAUGAAGCUCAAAAAGAUGGUUUCGUGCAGGUCGGAGAACGGAAAUGGUUCUACCCCUGGUGAUAUAGAAAGACUGCAGAAGAAUUGAAAAAUUUCGAGGUUAGACCCGAUGAUAUAUGGAUCACAGGAUUUCCAAGAUCAGGUACUUCUCUCACGGAGGAAAUUGUAUGGCUACUUAGUCACGAUUUGGAUUUCGAUGAAGCGAGGGGAAUUGAAUUGUCAACACGUGUCGUGUCAAGUUUUUCGAAUUAGAUGUUGUCAUAAACGAAAAGAAGGAAAAAGAGACGAUUGAACAGUUUCCAGGAGAAGCAGCUAACUUCAUUCGACGAAGAAACAUUUUGAAUGCCUUAAGAGAAGAGAAAAGUAGGAGAGUCAUAAAGACUCAUUUACCAUUCGAACUAUUACCUGAUGACAUAUUC